rnacentral:misc_RNA from 1 species
AGCAAUGCUGUCACUGUCAAAGAUUUUGUAAAACUGUGGUGGUUUGUGGAUGUCAUUUUAGGAAUUUCUCACUAAUUUAAUAAUAUUUCAAUCUGUUUGGUUUAUUACAAGUGUAAACCAUUUCAUAACUUUAUACUGUGCUUUCUAGUUAUCAUUCCAUCGAAAUAAUGUCUUGUGUAUUUUUUUCAUUAAAAGGUUAAGUGUGAAUUAUUAUGUAAAAAAAUACAAUAAUUUACAAAAAUGAUGGCUGAUAAUGAAGUAGACGAGGCUCUAGCCUCGUUAGACAUGCUGAUGUCGGAGUUCUUUGCGCCAGCAACAAGUAACUUCAGAAAGAGAGAGAUUGAGAAUAUGCUCGAGAAUUUUUCCAAUAGAAAUGAUUCUUGGAAACAUUGUUUGUUAUUCUUACAAAAAUCACAAAAUCAAUAUGUGUUGAUGUUUACUUUGACUACUUUGGAGAAUAUAAUCAACCGGCAGUGGAUCAGUCUAUCAGACAAUGAGAAGACUGAAGUGAGGCUUACAUUAUGGAAUGAAUUGUUGGCCAAACAUGAAGUGAUGGUGUAUUUUAUAAGAAAUAAAGUAGCAGCACUCAUGGUGUCCAUUGCACGCUAUGAUUGGCCUCAUUUGUAUGAUGAUUUCUUCAGUAAUAUUGUUGAGUUGAUCAGAAGCGAUGGGUCUCGUUGUCUCCUGGGCUUGGUGCUGGCACAGGCUGCAAGUGAAGAGCUGGGUGCUGCACGGGAUACAGGUGUCCUGUUACCAUCCACUCGUAGGAGUCAACUGGAGAGGCUCAUGCUCAAGGGCAUGCCACAGCUUUUAAGUGCUCUAAGUGAUAUUUUGGAAAAAAAUGCCCAGAAGGAGGGUCAGUCUAAUCCACCACCCUCACCAACUCAUGGUGUGCCACAGACUUCAGCACUACCAGACCUGUUGGCCAAUGCACAUGAUGUCACUGCUGCUGAUAAAGCCCUGAACAUGGAGAUAGUAGUUAAAUGUCUAACAACUCUUCAACAUUUAUUCUCGUGGCUGCCACUGUCCUCCCAUGUACCACCAUCCUUAGUGACAACUGUGUUCUAUUGGGGCAGCAUAGCUACACAAUCACAGAGCAUGGAGGCGGCUCUGUGCGGUCUGGGCGGCGUGUGCGAGCUGCUGUACCGGCGGUACGCGCCGCCGUCGUCGGCCGCCACGGCGCUGCGCCUGCAGCACUGCGCGCUGCGCCUGCUGCGCCACCUCACGCACGCGCCGCACGCCGUCACGCAUGCGCAUCACGAUUACCUUAACAAGUUAGCAGAGUUCCUAAAACUGUUUGUGUCAUUGCAUUUCAAGAGGUUGGAGGCAGAACCAGAGUUUGACGCCAUUGAAUUCUUGUCAUAUCUAUUCCAAUAUACAUUCCAGGUACCUACGUGUGGUAUUUUUGUAAACUGUUUAGAUAUAUGGAUACAAUUUAUAGACAUUCUGAAGCCAGAAGAUACACCUAAAUAUUGGGAAGCUUUACAAGCGCUCGUGAAUGGAGUGCUGAACAAAAUACAGUUCCAACAUAAUAAGGCUCAGUUACAGCAUCUUGACAAUGAUGUUCGUGAUGAUGAUGGUGAGACCGAAUGGCACACAUUCCUGAAACAUUGUAUAGAAUGCAUCGCUCGCGUCGCAGAACUGGCGCCGCUUGAUGUUUUCACCGCUGUGCUAGAGCGCUGGCAGUGCCUGGCGGGCGUGCACUCGCGGGCGGCGUCGCGCGGCGGCGAGGGCGAGCGCCUGCUGGCCGCGCUGCUCGACCUCGCCACGCUCACGCGCGUGCUGGGACGGCUGGCACCCGCGCUGCUCGCAGAGACGGAGAGCAGCCGUCGCGCGACGGGCUGGGCGCUGGGCGCGGGGCUGGUGGAGCGGGUGGGCGCGGCGCUGGGCGGCGCCGCCCUCACGCGCCCGCACCGCGCCGCGCCGCACCAUCUCGCGCAUGCGCACGUGCACGUGCACGCAGAAAUGUUCGCGUGUAUGGGCGCGUGGUGCUGCUACGCGAACGAGUGCGGCGUCCCCGUGCACACGAUGGAGGGACUGUUCUCAUCAGCUGUACCCUUCUUACUGCCGCACGAGAUACCGGAACCGCCGUUGUUAUGCCAUGCCGCAGCGCAUCUGCUUCUGAGCCUCGCGAAGAACGUGAAAUUCAACAGCGAUCCUGUAGUGCUGUGUGGUGACUUGUAUGAACACGCGCAAAGAUCUCUGCAGUACCUCGCUCCUAAGACAGCGCUGGUGGUGCGCGAGGCGCUGCUGUCGCUGGCGCUGCGCGGCGCGGGGGGCGCGGGCGGCGCGGCGCGCGCGCUGCUGGCGGCGUGGGGCGGCGCGCUGCAGGCGCAGGGCCCGGCGCUGGCGCUGCCGCCGCUCACCGCGCUGCUGCACGCCUUCGCCGACGCGCCUACGCACGCCAAGAAGGCGAUAGCAGAAGGUAUUCAAGGUUCAGCCGAGACGGCGUUACGGAUGCUAUGCGAGCCAACGUUCGCGUCAGCUGAGCCGGAGAUCACGGACUUCUUCCUCGCGCUGUUCACCGCGCUGUUGCCGCAACUCGGCAAUUUUGCAUACAACGCUAUAGAUGUCUUCUUAGAAGUGGCACAAAGGGGCGGCGGGUCGCUGGGGCUGGAGCGGCUGGUGGAGUGCGUGCGGCUGGGCGUGGAGGCGGGCGGCGGCGCCGUGCUGCCGCGCGCCGUGCUCACGCUGCUCGCGCGACACGUGCUGCCGCGCGCCACGCUCGCCGCGCCCGACCUCGCGCGCGCCGCCUACCGCCUGCUCGCCAGGUAACACAAGCGUUAGUUAGUCACGUGCUGCACGUGCUGCCGCGCGCCACGCUCGCCGCGCCCGACCUCGCGCGCGCCGCCUACCGCCUGCUCGCCAGUGUGCUGAUCCACCGCUGGCGCUACUUCUUCCCGAACAAAUGCGAGGAAUCAGAAAGCAACGCUCGCACGGAUGAGCUGCGCGGCGCGCUGUCGGCGCUGGGGCGGGCGCUGCUGCAGCCCGACAUCGAGCUGCUGCGG